rnacentral:lncRNA from 1 species
CCUGUCUUCCUGUGUAAGAUGCAGGGAAUUGAGCAGCUGGGCCAGAGUCCAAGGUAUACUCCAACCCGGACGCAAACAGAUUUGGGGAAAGAACCUGUGCUCACCACCUCUCAGAAAACCACCUUCCCUUUUUCUUCAGUUAAAAAAGUUCAGCUAAUUUUGUUUGUCAGUCUGCUCUUUCCAUUUCUGGGCAAUGGUGUGCUUCCUGCUUUUAACUACGUGGGCAGCUUAAGCUGCCUGAACCCUGGCGAGGAUGCUUGUGGCUUGUCAGGCACAGACAGAGUCUGCAGAGGAGAAGUCUCCAAAAGUUUGUAUGUAGAGAGGUUUGCUGCAACCCGAGCUAAAUGUGAGUAAAUACGAGCUGAUGACUGAGGCUCUAGGAGGCUGGGGUGCAGGGCCUCUCGGGGCGAGAUUCAGCCCGUGGCCUGCCAGCCUCAAAGGUGUGCUCCGUAUGCGGUGAGGUCUGGGCUGGCUGGUGUUUGACGGUGAUUUAAUACACAGCUCUACACACUAAGAGACUUCAAUCAAUGUUGUUGACUGACUGCCUGACUGGCUUUGACCUCGCCUGAAAAGGGGUGAGGGUUGCUAAAUAAACUGAAGGUAUUAUCAUAAUAAUACCUGCUGACCAAGAACAUUGUCAAGAUGAAUGAGUUCUUUUUGAAGGGCAAAAUGUGCUUCUCUGAAGAAUGACACUAGAUGAAUACUAAAUGUAACAUCAUUUGAAUAGAACUUUAUAUUGCUUCAACCCUGCGCUGAUCACAAUAUCAGCUAGAGGUCUUCUGGAAAUGCAAACACUCUUGUUGAGAAAGUUCAGACAAAAUGUGACCUAUCUUGACACCAGCGGUUUGUUCGGCCUUUAUUAUCCUGGAAUCCUAAGAUGGAAUGGAUCUUGGAAGAUUGAACACGUUGUCACAUCCCCAAGGCCAAGACUGCCCCGAAAUCAUCUAGAGUGCCUUAAAAAUGAAAACUGGAAAGAAUAGUGGAACACUUGAUCAACAGACGAUUGUGAUGAUGUAAUGAGACUUAGGCAAAACUGAAUCUGCUCCUUCUUGAUCUUCUAAUUUUUAUUCUUUGGGAAUGGCGUCUUGGAAGAAGCUUAUCUUGAGGUAUGUGAACAAGACAACUAAAUUAUAGGAAGCUAAUUUCAUUUGUAUGUUGGAUACGUUUGGGAUUACAUCAAGGAAAGAGCAAUUUUUUUGGAUGUACUGAUUUAUAGCUCUCAACCGUUGACAUGUGUAGGUGACAGACAAGAAGACCGUUGUCUUCUCCCAAUCCAAGAUGCCACCAAGCAAAAGUUCCAUGGGAGGUUUUAAUGACUAGGUUACAGGACUAAAAACAAAAGCAUCAAGGACAACUCCAUGGCUUCCCUUACUGGCAAAAGACUUCCACAGACUGUUAAAAGUGGUCAUUGAUGUGUUGUUUUGCUGAGUUGUCCUGCUAAGCCUUUCUGGAUUGUUUCUAUUAGUAUCCCGUUUUCUGUGUUUUUAAUAGUUUUUUCAGAGAAAGGAUUUAAAAUGUUUCUUCUACAGCCCUUGAAACAAUCUGGCUUAUAUAUUCAGGUUAUUUAUUAAAAUGUGUCUUUUCAAACAGUCUAGUUGAUACAUUCAGGUUCUUUAUCCAAAGGUAUCAUCUCGAUUAUCUUCUGAAGUUUCAGAGCUAUAAAUCUCAGAUCUUGUAGUAGCUCCGUGGACAUCAGGAAUUCAUCAGCACAGUGCUGGGACCAGGGAGUCAGCAAUCAGGGGAUUCACGGUCUCUACAAAAGUUAAAAGCAACAAUAACUUGAAGUAUCAUCCUGCAUUGAAAAUUCCAGACGUUAUUUGUGGUAAAAUAUGCCUACCUGGGGGAAAGAAUUGCUGAUCUAAAACAAAUUCUAAACAAUUACUGUGAUUACUGUUGAGUUUUAAUAGCAUAAUACUUAGGUAAAUGUCAAAUUAGCACAUUUUUAUUACCCAUCCUUUAGUAAAGAUUUUAUUUACAUGAGUCGGUCAAUUAUACAGUCAGCCAUGGACAUAACAUACAUGGACUUAGCUAUGUGCACUGAUGUCUAGAGUAAGAUCAUUAGGGUUCAGAAUUUUUGAGCUACUUUGUGUGCAAUUGGAGUCUCUGACUUUUGCAUUUGAACAGUGGUUUGGAGCCAGGAGAAAUGAUUACAAACUGAUUAUAAAGCUGAAAAACCAGAAUUUAAAUUACUUCAAUCUUGUCAUUUAUGCAUAAAUCAUUCUCUGAAACUUGCAGAAUCCAUUCUUCUGUAUUUUUUCCAAAAUAUACAUUAAUUCUAUUUAAAAGAAUUAAUCUAUUUCUUGUUUGCUUUUUUGCUCUUUGUUAUUAUUAUUUGUUGGCAUG